AGUGAACGCUGGCGGUAGGCCUAACACAUGCAAGUCGAACGGCAGCACAGUAAGAGCUUGCUCUUACGGGUGGCGAGUGGCGGACGGGAGAGGAAUACAUCGGAAUCUACUUUUUCGUGGGGGAUAACGUAGGGAAACUUACGCUAAUACCGCAUACGACCUACGGGUGAAAGCAGGGGAUCUUCGGACCUUGCGCGAUUGAAUGAGCCGAUGUCGAAUUAGCUAGUUGGCGGGGUAAAGGCCCACCAAGGCGGCGAUCCGUAGCCGGUCUGAGAGGAUGAUCAGCCACACUGGAAGUGAGACACGGUCCAGACUCCUACGGUAGGCAGCAGUGGGGAAUAUUGGACAAUGGGCGCAAGCCUGAUCCAGCCAUACCGCGUGGGUGAAGAAGGCCUUCGGGUUGUAAAGCCCUUUUGUUGGGAAAGAAAAGCAGCAGGUUAAGACCCCGCUGUUCUGACGGUACCCAAAGAAUAAGCACCGGCUAACUUCGUG
rnacentral:rRNA from 1 species